rnacentral:rRNA from 1 species
UGCCAGCCGCCGCGGUAAUACGGAGGGUGCAAGCGUUGUUCGGAAUUAUUGGGCGUAAAGCGCGUGUAGGCGGUUCGUUAAGUCUGAUGUGAAAGCCCGGGGCUCAACCCCGGAAGUGCAUUGGAAACUGGCGAACUUGAGUACGGGAGAGGAAAGUGGAAUUCCGAGUGUAGGGGUGAAAUCCGUAGAUAUUCGGAGGAACACCAGUGGCGAAGGCAGCUUACUGGACAGGUACUGACCCUGAGGAACGAAAGCUAGGGUAGCGAAAAGGAUUAGAUA